rnacentral:rRNA from 1 species
CCUUACCUACUCUUGACAUCCUGCGAACUUGUGAGAGAUCACUUGGUGCCUUCGGGAACGCAGAGACAGGUGGUGCAUGGCCGUCGUCAGCUCGUGUUGUGAAAUGUUGGGUUAAGUCCCGUAACGAGCGCAACCCUUGUCCUUAUUUGCCAGCGCGUAAUGGCGGGAACUGUAAGGAGAAUGCCGGUGACAAACCGGAGAAAGGUGGGGACGACGUCAAGUCAUCAUGGCCCUUACGAGUAGGGAUACACACAUAGUACAAUGGUCGGUACAAAGGGUUGCGAGCUCGCAUAGUCAGCUAAUCCUGAAAAGCCUGUCUCAGUCCGGAUCGUAUCUGCAACUAAAACCCAAGGUCAAAAUCGCCACUCUUAUUUACGAACGCUA